rnacentral:rRNA from 1 species
AGAGGGGGCAAGCGUUGUCCGGACUGACUGGGCGUAAAGCGCGCGCAGGCGGUCGCGGGCGUCGGUGCUGAAAGGGCGCCGCUUAACGGCGCGAAGGGUGCCGAUACGCCGCGACUGGAGCGAUGGCGAGGGUGGUGGAAUUGCCGGUGUAGUGGUGAAAUGCGUUGAGAUCGGCAGGAACACCCGUGGCGCAAGCGGCCACCUAGCCGUUGGCUGACGCUGAGGCGCGACAGCGUGGGGAGCGAACCGGAUUAGAUACCCGGGUAGUCCACGCCGUAAACGAUGCCGACUCGGUAUCCGUCGGGCGAAUAGCCUGGGGGGUGCCCCAGCUUACGCGGUAAGUCGGCCGCCUGGGGACUACGAGCGCAAGCUUA